rnacentral:rRNA from 1 species
UAGAAUUCCAGGUGUAGCGGUGAAAUGCGUAGAGAUCUGGAGGAAUACCGAUGGCGAAGGCAGCCAUCUGGCCUAACACUGACGCUGAGGUGCGAAAGCAUGGGGAGCAAACAGGAUUAGAUACCCUGGUAGUCCAUGCCGUAAACGAUGUCUACUAGCCGUUGGGGCCUUUGAGGCUUUAGUGGCGCAGCUAACGCGAUAAGUAGACCGCCUGGGGAGUACGGUCGCAAGACUAAAACUCAAAUGAAUUGACGGGGGCCCGCACAAGCGGUGGAGCAUGUGGUUUAAUUCGAUGCAACGCGAAGAACCUUACCUGGCCUUNACAUAGUAAGAACUUUCCAGAGAUGGAUUGGUGCCUUCGGGAACUUACAUACAGGUGCUGCAUGGCUGUCGUCAGCUCGUGUCGUGAGAUGUUGGGUUAAGUCCCGCAACGAGCGCAACCCUUUUCCUUAUUUGCCAGCGAGUAAUGUCGGGAACUUUAAGGAUACUGCCAGUGACAAACUGGAGGAAGGCGGGGACGACGUCAAGUCAUCAUGGCCCUUACGGCCAGGGCUACACACGUGCUACAAUGGUCGGUACAAAGGGUUGCUACCUAGCGAUAGGAUGCUAAUCUCAAAAAGCCGAUCGUAGNNCGGAUUGGAGUCUGCAANNCGACUCCAUGAAGUCGGAAUCNNNAGUAAUCGCGGAUCAGAAUGCCGCGGUGAAUACGUUCCC